rnacentral:sRNA from 1 species
UCCCUGGCAGAAGCCUCCGACAGGUUGGC